GGGGCGGCGGCGGGGGAAGGAGGCCUCAGCCUCGGCCGCAGCCGCCCGGGUCGGCCCGGGACAGCCCCGCACCGGCACCCUCGGUCCUUUCUGCUGCUCUCAUCCACAGCACUUCUCUGGAGUGCCUCAGGAGGGACUGGGAGCUGCUGCGUUAAACAUUCUCUUCCCCAUGGGGAGCGGGAAGAGCGGGGUGAAGCAGACCGGCGCCUGUUUGGCAGGAGCUGUGGAUAAGAACACAGAGGUGUAGUGUGUGUGAUGCCAUGUUACUGUCACAUCUACUUGAAUAGUGCAUUCUGUCUCAAAUGAUAAGGACAUAGCUCAUAAUAGCUCCUAGUGUAUUUAUAAGGCUGUAAACCACACUGCUGAGAAGCCAGCUCUAAAACAAUACCCACGCAGCAUUUGUAACAGAUAUUCCUCCAAGUCAAACAGCUCAGCAGGAAUACAGGGCUCAUCUAUCAAAACCAAGAGGAGCUAAGGUAGAAUGGACCCAGGCUCACCAGUUUGAACACAGCCUAAUAGCUCUGCAAAGGCAUCCUAGAAGGUCGUAGUAGCCCAUCAUGCCUCACUGUGCAUAGACACUCUUCCUCACAUAGCACCGAGACAUGCUGGCAUCCUCAUUUCUUGGCUAGUUGUUCUGUCACCAGGCCAGAUGCUCAGAAUGGAGCAGCAUGAGGUGCAAAAGGAAUCAGGGAACUUGUGAAUAAGAAGAACAUACUCAUAAUUUUGCAGCUGGAAAAUUUCCCAUUAACCUAGCAACAGAGCUGGCCCAGGACAUCACAGAACAGACCUGUUCCAAAAUUAAGAAGCCGAAGUGUACUUGUACAGCUGUGUUAGAGCAAAGUGUAUGUCCUGAAGGUGUGGUGGACUUACUUCUACAUGGUGAAGUUAUGACAGCAGCACCUGAAGAAACAUGAAAGCCUUAAUUCACUGACUAAUCCCUCCAGCCUGCAGAGGCUGGCUGUGCAGGACUUAUCACACAAGGACGUCAGAUGCUGCUGGUGGGAAGCUUUUCUCUGAGGCUUCUGCAAAACUGCCUCCACACACACAGUGCCAAGUCUUUUAGCACAGCAAGGGCUAGAGCACAGUCCCAAUCACACAGCCAGGGAGGGCCUUCUGCCUUCAAUGUGCAACAUAACAGCAAUAAAAGAGAGGAGAACAGGCACUGCCAAUCUCUGCUUCUGUGACCAUUUAGGAGCCAAAAAAAAAGAGAAAAACCCUAACAAAAAAAAAACAGGAGAGAAAAGAGCCAGAAAUGCAACUUCUUUGGGAGACCAUUCUUCCCAGUGUCAAUCCUAACUGACACCAUUGCUGAGCCUCUAAGCACGGCAUACUGACACUGCACUACAAGUUGCCUUAUGAAAAAGGAAAGGUAGCCAAGCUGCAAACUUCACAAGGGAGAAGUUCCCAGCAUCCCAGCAGAAUUUGCUCCAGCUAUGAACUCAUCUCACUGGCAAUGAAGGCAUAGUUGGCAGCAUUUCCUGGAGCUGAGGACAGACAAUGAGGAGCUUCUUCAUCUCACAAAAGUAGAAGGUGGAUGCAAGUGAUUGGUCCAUGUCAGGAUAUACUGUUUACAUGCCACGAGGCUUGGGAAUCUGAGGUCAUAUUCACUGCUACUGAGCCACCAGAAGUACAGGUUUGAAGCAGUAUUAGUACAGUCCAAGAAACACAGAAGAGGAAAUGAAAUGAAAGAUGGCAAAGGGUCCUUUAAUCCAGAGUUUCUUAUUCUGUAGGAUGUAUUUUGCCAAGGCACUAGCAAGAAGACAUAAACAAAUCAUCCUCACCACAGAGUGAUGUCCUGUAAUGAAUGUGCUAGAGACACUAAUUAACUGUAAAUGAGACCAACACAGUUGAGAUGUGUUGCUCCAAUCUUCUGCCUCUUAUGACACGAUCUGCACUGACAGGUGUUUCUCUACUUCCUGUGAUCAUAUCUGAAUUGCUGAAUCAUAUCAAAAUUGAUGAAGAAUCAGAGGAAUUGCCACUGAUGUGCUGUUGAUGGGGGCAACGUCCUCCAGUUUACUGCAAUUUUCUCAAAUGAAUUCAAGUCCAACAUAUUCUUUAUACAUUUUGGAUGGAAAAUAUUUCACACUCUGUAUGCAAGUUGAUUUUUGGCAGAAUUUUGGAAUCAGCUGUAGUCAAAAGAAAGCCUCUGAAGAGCCUCAGAUUUGAGAAAGGCUAUACUUUCCCUUUCAAGUCUGUUUUAACACAGCUGUCUGUAGGUCUUGUUCUGCUGUUACACUGAUGUAAAGCUGUUGCCAACAAAGGAUUCAUUUCUGAUUUAUAAGACUGGAAAUGUUCUAUCUCUUUCCUCUCUUCAUUGCUGUCUUUGCUUUCCCUUGCCUUUUUUCAGUUUCACAUUGAGUUUAAGGACUAGUAAAUAAACUCAUUCAAGCUUCUGUACAUCAGCCACAGGAUAUUGGCCUCUGCUGAGCCCAAAGACUUCUCUCUGGGUGAAUAAUAUCUUCCAGGAAACACCUGAUCUCACUUUGAAGGCAGCAAAAGAGGGAGACCCUGCCACUUCUUUGCCAGCUUGCCUGCAUUUUCCUGUAAUCUCAAUUUUCUGAUUUAUAGACAAUGGCAACCAGAAUGGUAUCUUUUGUUUCUUUUGGCCACUUAAUUGUUAAGCAUAUGUAGAGUUCUAGUAAAGCUGAUACACAAUUCUUAUUAUAGCAAUCACAUCAACUAUAGCAGAAUUUAUUUUCUUUAAAAGAGCAAAAUGUUCUGGCUGAGUUCUGAUACAACAGAAUAAGCAUGGUCAACUUUCACGAGAAAAACUUUGUAUGAGCUAGGAUUUCUUAGCUGUUUUCAUAGGAACCCACCAGAGUGUUCUUCCCUCCACUGUGAGCCCAGUACCACUGCAGGCUCUACAUUCUGAGAAAUAUGGGCUGCACCACUGACUUCUCUGCUGGGACAGGGCUGGAGGGUUCCACAGGGACAGGAAGGAGCUUGGGUUGUACAUUUUUUCUGUACCUCUAAUGCUCAGCACAGUAAGGCAUCCUUUGUGCCAUUUGAUUCAUCUCAUGAAGGAUUUAUGAGAACUUAGCACUUCUGUGUGGCCAUCCCUCUGUGCCACUAUAACUCCAAGUUAGCCUCUGUAUCAGAAGCUUAACACUUACACUGUCCUCACAAAGGUUUUGAGCCCUCAAAACUACAUCUUUUGAUAUUUGGUCCUUUGUACCUACUUGGUACUGGUUUUACUCCUGUGAGAUGAAAAGCAAGACUGCUGUAAUCCUCAAAAGUUGAAAUCCCUUGUCAGGUCCACCCUGUAGUAGCUGAUGGUUUAGAUAAAUUUCUGUUCAACUAUUUAUGCACCAUUUUUUCUGAUAAGGAUAUUCAUUUUUGCUACAGAUACAAGGGGAAGACUGGCAUUUUCUACCACUUCUGAUGGAAAAUAUGUUUUUAUACCAAUGUUUGGAUUUCUUUAGUUAUUGUCUGUGCACCUCAUUCAGAAGAAAGUCCUGGAACAGAGUUUAACCUGUCAAAAUCCUUACAUUUCCUGAUAAAUUAAUUUAAAAAGAUAUAAAGGAUAAAAAAAACAAUUGUAUGACCUGCUGCCGCAAGCAAAUAGAUCUUCAGGGAAAACCGUUUGUUGCCAUGCCUUGCUUUGAAACCAUCCUGGGUGCUGUUAAGAAGUAGUUUCCACUGCUCAUGCUUGCUAAAGUCAGGAAACAAAGUAAAAACAUGGUGAUGAUAAUAACUAGGUACUUACUCUGUGCUGAGCCUCUUUAAGGAAGUAACUUUCAAAGAUACAUGUAGAAGAAAACACCUGCUGAAUUCAUGCUGUAGCAUACAUCUUUUGUGUCGUUUGAC